CUACGGGUGGCUGCAGUGGGGAAUAUUGCACAAUGGAGGAAACUCUGAUGCAGCAACGCCGCGUGGAGGAUGACACUUUUCGGAGCGUAAACUCCUUUUAUAUAGGAAGAAGAUGACGGUACUAUAUGAAUAAGCGCCGGCUAACUCCGUGCCAGCAGCCGCGGUAAUACGGAGGGCGCAAGCGUUACUCGGAACCACUGGGCGUAAAGAGCGUGUAGGCGGAUUAAAAAGUCAGAAGUGAAAUCCUAUUGCUUAACUAUAGAACUGCUUCUGAAACUCUUAAUCUAGAAUAUGGGAGAGGUAGAUGGAAUUUCUGGUGUAGGGGUAAAAUCCGUAGAGAUCAGAAGGAAUACCGAUUGCGAAGGCGAUCUACUAGAACAUUAUUGACGCUGAGACGCGAAAGCGUGGGGAGCAAACAGGAUUAGAUACCCCAGUAGUC
rnacentral:rRNA from 1 species